AGUUUGAUUCUGGGCUCAGAUUGAACGCUGGCGGGAUGCUUUACACAUGCAAGUCGAAUGGCAGCACGGACUUCAGUCUGGUGGCGAGUGGCGAACGGGUGAGUAGUUUAUCGGAACGUGCCUAGUAGCGGGGGAUAAUCUGGCGCGAAAGCGGUAGCUAAUACCGUACAUUAGCCUUCGGGGGAAAGCGGUGACCUUCGGGCCUCGUACCAUUAGAGCGGCCGAUAUCGGAUUAGCUAGUUGGUGGGGUAACGGCUCUACUACAGUGACGAUCCGUAGCUGGUUUGAGAGGACGACCAGCCACACUGGGACUGAGAGACACGGCCCAGACUCCUACGGAGCGGGCGCAGGGGAAUUUGGACAAUGGGGGAAACCCUGAUCCAGCCAUCUCGGCGUGUGCGAUGAAGGCCUUCGGGUUGAAAAGCACUUUUGGCAGGAAAGAAACGGCACGGAUAAUACCCUGCAACUGACGGUACCUCGUAGAAUAAGCACCGGCUAACUACGUGCCAGCAGCCGCGGUAAUACGUAGGGUGCAAGCGUUAAUCGGAAUUACUGGGCGUAAAGCGUGCGCAGGCGGUUCGGAAAGAAAGAUGUGAAAUCCCAGAGCUUAACUUUGGAACUGCAUUUUGAACUACCGAGCUAGAGUGUGUCAGAGGGAGGUGGAAUUCGCGUGUAGCAGUGAAAUGCGUAGAUAUGCGGAGGAACACCGAUGGCGAAGGCAGCCUCCUGGGAUAACACGACGCCUGCGUACGAAAGCGUGGUGAGCAAACAGGAUUAGAUACUCCUGGUAGUCCACGCCCCAAACGAUGUCAACUAGCUGUUAAAUUUCGGGCCUUGGUAGCGCAGCUAACGCGUGAAGUUGACCGCCUGGGGAGUACGGUCGCAAGAUUAAAACUCAAAGGAAUUGACGGGGACUCCGCACAAGCGGUGGAUGAUGGAUUAAUUCGAUGCAACGCGAAAAACCUUACCUACCCUUGACAUGCCUGAUCCCGAAGAGAUUGGGGAGUGCUCGCAAGAGAACCGGAACACAGGUGCUGCAUGGCUGUCGUCAGCUCGUGUCGUGAGAUGUUGGGUUAAGUCCCGCAACGAGCGCAACCUUGUCAUUAGUUGCUACGAAAGGGCAAUUUCCAUCGAGACUGCUGGUGACAAACCGGAGGAAGGUGGGGAUGACGUCAAGUCCAUGGCCCUUAUGGGUAGGGCUUCGAAGCACACGUCAUACAAUGGUCGGGACAGAGGGUCGCCAACCCGCGAGGGGGAGCCAAUCCCAGAACCCGAUCGUAGUCCGGAUCGCAGUCUGCAACUCGACUGCGGAAGUCGGAAUCGCUAGUAAUCGCGGAUCAGCAUGUCGCGGUGAAUACGUUCCCGGGUCUUGUACACACCGCCUGUCACACCAUGGAGUGGGUUUUACCAGAAGUAGUUAGCCUAACCGGUAAGGAGGGCGAUUACCACGGUAGAGGAUCUAUGACUGGGGUGAAGUCGUAACAAGGUAG
rnacentral:rRNA from 1 species